rnacentral:misc_RNA from 1 species
GUAAAAUUUAUCUGCAAUUUACAUUCUGUCGUCUUUUUCAAUUUUCUGUUUGGAGUUGGGGGCAUUAGUUCCUAGAAGUGCAACUUAAACAAAAACAUAAUUUGUAUGUUACUGUAACUCAUCUGAUGUGAUUUGUAUGUUAACAUGUUGUGACUAGGCUAGACUCUGUGUAUGGCUUAGACAAUUACGCUUUGUCAGUCCUUAAUGUGCACACUUGUGCAUAGCAUGGCACCUGGUUCUUACCAUACCUUUCGUGGUCUUGAAAUGAACAUCUGCUAUUCUUUCAAAACCACGAAAGGUAUGGUAAGAACCAGGUG